UGCCAGCAGCCGCGGUAAUACGAAGGGUGCUAGCGUUGUUCGGAAUUACUGAGCGUAAAGAGCAUGUAGGCGGAUGAAUUAGUCAGAGGUGAAAGCCCCGAGCUCAACCCCGGAACUGCCUCUAAUACUGCUAGUCUUGAGUUCGAGAGAGGUGAGUGGAAUUCCGAGUGUAGAGGUGAAAUUCGUAGAUAUCAGGAGGAACGCCGAUGGCGAAGGCAUCUCUCUGGGUCGAUAUUGACGCUGAGGCGCGAAGGCGUGGGUAGCGAACGGGAUUAGAUA
rnacentral:rRNA from 1 species